rnacentral:lncRNA from 1 species
UUCUCGAAAUAGAUCUGAUACGCCCCAAUCUUUACCGUCAAAUGAUGUCGGAUCUGCACCAGUUGCCACCACCUUCUCAAACGUUGAUCGGACGGUCCCGAGAGGGUUAAUCAAGCAAUCGUAUUGACGUCCCACCAUAUCCAGAUACAACACUUCAAACUAUUGAAUCAUUGAAACCAUCGUCGCCACCGUUUGAUCCUUAACCGCCGUUGAAUCAUUGUCAUCGUCUCCUCUGGAUCCCUUCUCGCUCUCAUGUGUGUGUGGAUUCAAUUCAAGGGUGGAGACUGGAACGAAGGGUUAGAUUAUUCGUGAGGAAGGGCGUGUCUUAAAGGAAUUGAAACGAUCUUAACUGAAGCACUUCAUUUACGUGCUAUUAUAUUAGGGUUCCAUAGCUUCUGUCUACUAAUUAAGACUUUUGUUUGAAUCAUUGAAUACAGGGAAGGAAGAUGAAGUGAAGUAACGAUGAGAUUAAAUGCAAAUCAACUACAGAGGUCGAUUAGGUUUCUUAGAGAGAGGCGAUUUGGCUGAAACCCUAGAUGCAGGAUUGAAACGUGGCAGAAUGGGAACAAAAUGGUAA